rnacentral:misc_RNA from 1 species
UGUCCAAAUACAGUGGUGCUGAAGCUCUUGCUAGCUUUUCGUUUAUUCUUUUUGUUUUAUCCUGGAUUAUACUUCGCCUCAUAUACUACCCGUUCUGGGUUCUUUGGAGUACAAGUUAUGAAGUUCUCCAAACCCUGGAUAAGGAGAAGCACAAAGUGGAUGGACCAAUCUAUUACUAUAUCUUCAAUUCUCUUCUAUUUUGCUUGCUGGUUCUUCAUAUAUAUUGGUGGGUGUUGAUAUACCGGAUGCUUGUUAAACAAAUCCAAGCGAGGGGCCAAUUGAGCGACGACGUUCGUUCUGAUUCUGAAGAUGAACAUGA